rnacentral:ncRNA from 1 species
GCAGAGCCCCGAUCGGCUCCUGGACGAGCGCGCCGUACCCAGCACACGACAAGACGGUGCCCG